rnacentral:piRNA from 1 species
CCCAGAAUGAGGUAGUUCUUCAUGAGAUGG